rnacentral:rRNA from 1 species
UACGUAGGUGGCAAGCGUUGUCCGGAUUUAUUGGGUUUAAAGGGUGCGUAGGCGGUCCUUUAAGUCAGUGCUGAAAUACUCUAGCUUAACUAGAGGGGUGGCAUUGAUACUGGGGGACUUGAAUGAAGUCGAGGUAGGCGGAAUUGACGGUGUAGCGGUGAAAUGCUUAGAUAUCGUCAAGAACACCGAUAGUGAAGACAGCUUACUAGGCUUAGAUUGACGCUGAGGCACGAAAGUGUGGGGAUCAAACAGGAUUAGAUACCCUGGUAGUCCACACUGUAAACGUUGAUGACUCGCUGUUGGCGAUAUACAGCCAGCGGCUUAGCGAAAGCGAUAAGUCAUCCACCUGGGGAGUACGCCGGCAACGGUGAA